rnacentral:lncRNA from 1 species
GGAGGAGGGAGGUGGAGGCGCCUGGCUGCUGAGGAGGCCGCGGGCGGUGCGGGGUCCGGUGAGAGCUCAAUCGCUUCUAAUAAAGCAGUAUUGAGAAACAUAAUUGAUGGGAGACUUAUACAAGGUUUGCUUCCUGAUUUCAUAAUUGAUAAAGCUGAGACGGUGAAACCUAACUGUUGAAGGGUGGAAGGUGUGAACCUGCUCAAGCAGGUACA